AUGGAGGAAGAUCGGGUGGACGGGGAUGAGCAGGGCAACUGGGAUCAUCACGGCCCAGAUCCGAAUUUGGAGGAUGCGUUUGAAGGACUGAACCUCCAUGGCGAGGAGGAGGGAGAUCUAGAUUUGUCCGGGGAGGUUGAUGAGUUAAUCGGGGAUGUGAGAUGGCUGGCUCUCUUUAGGGUUCAUACCCUGCGUUCGUUCAGUCACGCGGCCCUGUUAAAUUCCAUGAGGAAUGCGUGGGCGUGUGCUCAGGGUGUCACGUUCAAUAUCAAGGGACCUAACUUGUUUCUGGCACAAUGUCAUUGCUUGGGAGAUUCGAAGAGGGUGAUGGAAGGAGGACCAUGGCAGUUUAGAAGGGAUCCUGUGGUUUUGGUUGAAUAUGAUGGGUUCACUAAUGUCUCAGACUACUCGUUGGACAUGUACCCACUAUGG
rnacentral:rRNA from 1 species